UUUUUUAUUAAGCAGUAGUGGUCAAAGUUAGCUUUGGCACAUGUGCUCCAGUUGCUGUAUAGACAUACCCACUGUGUGGUCAAAAAGGAGUGCAUUUAGUUUAUGCUCUUUGGCAGGCCACAACUUGAAGAAGCUUUAGAUUAUACAGAAACUAACAGGUAUAUUUGUAAUGCUAACAAAACUUUUUCAAGAAAGAGAUUCAAGGAAGAAGGAAACUGGAAGAGUGACUGCACAUAUUCCUUAAAUUAUUCUCAGAUGAAUACAUUUUAAGAUCAGUUCACUUGUUUAGCACGGUGUGAUCAUCCCUGGAAGCACUGGGCCAGCUUGAGUUGAGUCCAUUUUUUUUCUUUUGUUCCUGAAAUCUACCUUUCAUUUUUUUUUUUUUUUUUUUUUUUUGGUGUGCAACUUCAAAAUUACCAUUGCUUCAUAACAGAUCAAGCCAAAAAUUAAAAGAUGCUGUUCAUGUCUCACUUAAAUCCCAGAUGUUUACUUCAACUAAUUCUUUUCAGGAUCAUAGUCGCGUUUAUGUUCUGCUUGAUUUUUAAGCAGUUCAUCUUGUAAAUUGAUUUCUGAGCAGCUACCUGACAAUUUACCAUCUACCUUCCAUCUUCAGAUUAAAUGUUUUAUUCCCAUAAAUAGAAAAACAUGAAAAUAAGGGACAAACCUCAUUGCCUAUUUUUAUUACUAGAGAUAAUUUUCAAUGUGGAUGUGUUGGUUCUGGAACACUUUAUCACUGUAAGUCUGUAUUAUCAAAUAUAUUCACUUCCGUCGGAAUGGGUGUGGUAAUAAAAACUAGUUGCCCCAUUCUUGAGCACUACUUAAAAUGAAAGCAAGGUAAUUCACACUUAAAUGAGAACCACACAGUGUGUCUCACUGGAUUACCUUUCCAUGCCUUUUCAUAACAAACAAGGUAUCUUAGUUAUUCUAAUUUCUGUUUUUUCUAUGUCUGUCAAAAGUAUUUCAGUUUGUAAAGACUCCCAGCUUGGUAGCUAUAAAAUAUUUAUACAACCCUACUGAGCAUAUGGAAAGUAUUCUUAUCUGUACCAUGUGUCUAUCCAGUUGACUCAUCAGAAUUCAUGGAAUUAUUAACCUAAGAUGCUUUCAGACAUCAGUGCUAUAAAGGUUGAUUAGCUUAUUAGUUACUUUCCUUUCUUAAGUCUCUCCCAGAAAUCUUGUCUCUGCUAAUAGAACGAUAUCCUAGCACAACAAGUACUGUGGUUGUGCCCACAAAUACGUUCAGAUAACUAAGUAUUUCAGUAACCACCUCCAUACAAUAUUUUGUUAAAGGAUCUGGGGACUCUGCCUUAUGAAACCAAGUGUUCCAAGCAGUUUGAAAUUCUAAAACUGAUUUCAGUGUAGAAAGUCAUGGUCACAUGUUAGUUUCCCCAAACAUAAACUUUUAUUUAUGGGGGAAAGAUGUGAAUCUUCUGUUUUUUGGUGGUUUUUUUUUUUAAACAGGAAAGAAAUCAAAGCAUUAGACCACUUUUCUCUUUGCUAUUGCUGAUAAUCCAUAGUUGUAUAAGUAUAAGCACUGAUCAGUAUACAGCACUCACAAACAUUAAAAUAUAACCAAAUAC